AACCUGGGAACUGCAUUCGAAACUGGCAGGCUAGAGUCUUGUAGAGGGGGGUAGAAUUCCAGGUGUAGCGGUGAAAUGCGUAGAGAUCUGGAGGAAUACCGGUGGCGAAGGCGGCCCCCUGGACAAAGACUGACGCUCAGGUGCGAAAGCGUGGGGAGCAAACAGGAUUAGAUACCCUGGUAGUCCACGCCGUAAACGAUGUCGAUUUGGAGGUUGUGCCCUUGAGGCGUGGCUUCCGGAGCUAACGCGUUAAAUCGACGCCUGGGGAGUACGGCCGCAAGGUUAAAACUCAAAUGAAUUGACGGGGGCCCGCACAAGCGGUGGAGCAUGUGGUUUAAUUCGAUGCAA
rnacentral:rRNA from 1 species